GAAAUGCGAUAAGUAAUGUGAAUUGCAGAAUUCAGUGAAUCAUCGAAUCUUUGAACGCACCUUGCGCUCCUUGGUAUUCCUUGGAGCAUGCCUGUUUGAGUAUCAUGAAAUCUUCAAAGUAAAUCUUUUGUUAACUCAAUUGGUUUCUACUUUGGAAUUGGAGGUCUUUGCAGCUUCACACCUGCUCCUCUUUGUUCAUUAGCUGGAUCUCAGUGUUAUGCUUGGUUCCACUCGGCGUGAUAAGUUAUCUAUCGCUGAGGACACUGUAAAAGGUGGCCAAGGUAAAUGCAGAUGAACCGCUUCUAAUAGUCCAUUGACUUGGACAAUACUUUUAUGAUCUGAUCUCAAAUCAGGUAGGACUACCCGCUGAACUUAAGC
rnacentral:misc_RNA from 1 species